GAGAAAGACAUAAUGGUUAUGGUGUUGCCUUGAAUCCAGUAGAAGGGGGUUCAAUUCCUUCCUUUCUUA
rnacentral:tRNA from 1 species